rnacentral:rRNA from 1 species
AGAGUUUGAUCCUGGCUCAGGAUGAACGCUGGCGGUGUGCCUUAGGCAUGCAAGUCGAACGAGAACUUGUUCUUCGGAACAGGGGAUAGUGGCAGACGGGUGAGUAAUGCACAGGAAUCUACCUUUUAGUGGGGAAUAGCCUCGGGAAACCGGGAUUAAUACCGCAUAAUAUCGCAAGAUUAAAGACUUCGGUCGCUAAGAGAGGAGCCUGUGUCCUAUCAGGUAGUUGGUGAGGUAAUGGCCCACCAAGCCUUCAACGGGUAGCCGGUGUGAGAGCACGACCGGCCACAAGGUCACUGAGACACGGGACCUACACCUACGGGUGGCAGCAACCAGGAAUAUUGCGCAAUGGGCGAAAGCCUGACGCAGCGACACCGCGUGUGGGAUGAAGCUCUUCGGAGUGUAAACCACUGUGGCAAGGGAAUAAUUUGACUGUACCUUGCUAGAAAGCACCUGCUAACUACGUGCCAGAAGCCUCGGUAAUACGUAGGGUGCAAGCGUUAUCCGGAUUUAUUGGGCGUAAAGGGUUCCGUCGGCGGUUUGCCAAGUUUCAUCUUAAAUACUGAGGCUCAACUUCAGAUACAGGGUGGAAAACUAGCAGACUUGAGUUUGUUCGGGGUAACUGGAACUCUCGGUGUAGGGGUGAAAUCCGUAGAUAUCGAGAGGAACGCCAAUCGCGAAGGCAGGUUACUAGGACAAUACUGACGCUCAUGGACGAAAGCUUGGGUAGCAAAAGGGAUUAGAGACCCCUGUAGUCCAAGCUGUAAACGAUGCUCGCUAGCUGGUUGGUCUUCGGACUGACUGGCGUAAGCUAACGCGUUAAGCGAGCCGCCUGGGAAUUACGAUCGCAAGAUUAAAACUCAAAGGAAUUGGCGGGGGAGCGUACAACCGGUGGAGCAUGUGGUUUAAUUCGAUACAAAGCGAAAAACCUUACCUAGACUUGAAAUGUAUCUGCAAAUCCUGGGAUAACCAGGACGCCUUCGAGGGUGAUACACAGGUGCUGCAUGGCUGUCGUCAGCUCGUGUCGUGAGACGUCCGCUUAAGUGCGGUAACGAGCGCAACCCUUAUCGUCAGUUACAAGUGUCUGACGAGACUGCCCUUGCCAAGCAAGGGAGGAAGGAGAGGAUGACGUCAAGUCAGCACGUCCCUUACGUCUAGGGCAACACACAUCCUACAAUGGGAUCUACAACGGGUAGCGACGAGGUAACUCUGAGCCAAUCCUAAUAAAAGAUCCCUCAGUUCAGAUUGAGGGCUGCAAUUCGCCCUCAUGAAGUCGGAAUCGGUAGUAAUCGCAAAUCAUAAGGUUGCGGUGAAUACGUUCUCGCUCCUUGCACACACUGCCCGUCAAGCCAGCAAAGUCAGCAACGCCCGAAGCGGGAGACUGUAACCCUUCUUACGAUGGGAACAGCCCUUCUACGGCGAGGUUGGCGAUGAGGACUAAGUCGUAACAAGGUAUCCGUACUGGAAGGUGCGGAUG